CCAGCCCACUUUUUUUUAACAGUAGGCUAGUUAAAAAAGUAACAAGGUAAGACCUAAAGAAUCGGCAAACCAAAUGACAAUAUUCACUUAUAGGUUACUGUUAUGCUGUGCGUUUUCAACUUUUAACGAACACUGAUGCGGAUCACAGGAUGUGUGGAUGAAACAUAAACUUCAAGCUCCCCACAUUGUGGCUCAUUGUUCUUGUCGUGUUUGGAUGUCGUGUGUGUUGCCGGUAUUUGUGGUCAUAAAUCUCCCAGACACAUGGAGACCUCCUGCAAUAGGCCACAUAAUGUCCAAGAGCAUCCUGGGUUAAGCCUCCUCUAAAAGCAAUGACUGCCCGUAAAGUAAAUCUCUUUCCCUGGAGCAUCAGAUUGGAGGGAAAUUCACUCAAAGGAAAUUCUGUGGAGUUGCUUCCCAGAGGGACACUGUGACAGACUUUGGAUCGGCCUGAGGCAGGGGGACUCGGGAAGGUCAAGGCCUUCUUCCACCGCGGUCUGAAGAUGAGCCAUGCCAGAAGCCUGCAGUACAGCAACAGAAA
ensembl:lncRNA